rnacentral:rRNA from 1 species
CAGCCGCCGCGGUAACACGGAGGGAGCUAGCGUUGUUCGGAAUUACUGGGCGUAAAGCGCGCGUAGGCGGUUACUCAAGUCAGAGGUGAAAGCCCGGGGCUCAACCCCGGAACUGCCUUUGAAACUAGGUGACUAGAAUCUUGGAGAGGUCAGUGGAAUUCCGCGUGUAGAGGUGAAAUUCGUAGAUAUUCGGAAGAACACCAGUGGCGAAGGCGACUGACUGGACAAGUAUUGACGCUGAGGUGCGAAAGCGUGGGGAGCAAACAGGAUUAGAUACCCGGGUAGUCCCUGUCUCUUAUAC